UCUCCAGAAAAAAUAGAAAGAGGUGAUUUGAGGGGACAGAAUUAUACCCAACUGACUUCCCAGCUCUGCUGGGUUGGUUGCAGAUUUAGGUACAGUCAGUUGGCAAUGAUUUCUAGACAGAGCCUGUGGGGAAUAGAAAGGUUCAUCCCUGCCUUGCUGCCUGGUGCAGGUGCUCCCCACAGGCUGGAAACCCCAUCACAGUGACAUGAAACAGCUUUCAGCAGAGAUCUGCAUCAACUGUGCUGAAGGCUGUGAACUCUCCUCUCACUUUGUAACAGGAUUAAAACACCGUAACAGAACUGUGGAAGAAAACUAUCCCUUCUUUUGCAUGCACAAUGUCUGUUUUUCCAGGAUUUCUGCUCUCUGACACUUCUGUCCUCUGAGUGUCUCUUUCAUUAGCUAUGAUUUAAGUUAAUGGUUUAAUAUUUAUCCGUUCUUAAAGUGAAACUACUUACUAGCUGUCAGAGCCUAAAAGCAAAAAUACAAAUGACAGCAGGAAAGUCUGUUUCUUCACAAUAAAUGCUUUGUAUUGCCACUAACUUCUUAAGUCAAACAUAAAUCAAGAUAUCCAAGCACUGAGAAUUCUGCAGUGUAAUCCAUGUGAGGCUCUUCUCUGCUUUAAGCCAAAAUAGAAACUAGAAAGGACUCAAGAUAGAACUGAGAAACUCAGAUGAUCAACAACAAUUUUGUAGCUUCGUUUUCUAUUAUGUUGAUAUGGUGAAUAUACUAGAAAAUGGGUUCUGGGUUUGCAUUUCCUUCUUGUGCAGCAGGACACUAAAUAAUAGCAUUUGUGGUCUAAUCUGGGCUUUAAUAUGGUUUUUUUUCAGUUGCUUAAUUGCAUUAAUGGAAAGAGGAGGAUGAUCUUGUGGCGAGGCCAGAGUACUGGAAGUCAGGUGAUCUGGGUUAUAUUCAGUUCUGCCACAAGCUUCCUGUGCAGUCUGCUGUAAUCAGACACAUGCAAUGGACCACCUGGUUGAACAGUGGAAAGAAAAUGCAUUGGUUAUUGUCUUCUACUGAUCUCCCUCAACUGGGCCCUGCUCCCACAGUCGUAAUGAAAAGAAGCGUCUGUUCAGGAUACUCUGCUUUGUGGAUUGAUUCUGCUGCUGGGCAACUCAAAAAACUUCAGGUGGUAGAAGAGGAACUGCAGGUGGUCCCUGGCUGUCAGGAAGAGCAAUGGCACAUCUCUUCCAUGUUCUUCUGUGGAGACCUCUGAAGCUGCCUGGAAACCAGAAGCCUGCAGUGCAGUAAGUGCAGUGCCAUUCUAUGCAGUGCCAUUCUCCACUUGGGGAGAAGCCAGAGAGGUGUAGGUAGCAGUUUAGUCCAAAGGUGUCUGACUCCAAAUGCUUUUGCAAAGUGAAUUGCUUUUACAGUAAGAGGAAUGUGGUUUGUAUAACCUCAAUGAAAGUCACUUUAGGCAGCUCCAGGUUAUGUGGGUUUGAACUACAUCUCCAAAUGCACUGGCACCCCUUCUUGCCAAAAUCUCCUGAACUUUAUUGACUUGGUUUAAUAAUGAAACUGCUACACAGCUUCCUCAUUCCUGAAACUUAUUUUAAUGCAAUUCCCUUUUGAAGGAGCACAUACCCACUCUGAUUUAUUUUAAAACAGCUUUUAGAAGGUGUCAUCCUUGUGAUGAAGUGUUAGGUCUAUGUUGCCAGUGUGCCAUUAAAAAUUGAAUUUCUGAUGUUUAAACGUCUCACUCAUCCCAAGUGUCAGAGUCUGACAGCUCUGCAUGUCACAUUACAGCACAGUAUUAUGGAUCCAUUUCCUCCAUUAGAGGAAAAACAAGAUGAAAAAUGAGAGAAAGCAAAAUCUGCAGUUUCUUCAUUAUUAAGCUGGAAAUUUAGAGGAAUAUGUAUGUUAAUCCUUAAAGUACUUAAAUGGCACUCCAUAUCCUGUGCCUCCUGUCUGUGCAGAAGCAACCUUUGUCCUGUGCUCCUAUGCAAACACUCAGAGAAUGCUGGGAGAGUUUUUGCAAUUGUCCAUGGCCUUGUAAAACAACAGCAAGGAGUAUCUAUGAAAUCAGCAAGUGGAUAAUGUAACAAAAUCAAAACAUGACCAGAUCCCAUUGUUUGGUCUUGACUAGGUCAAGAAAAAGGCCAUGUGAUAUAUUUAUUGCUGCGUUGUUUUGCCAGCUUUAGACAGCUGUGUGCUUUGGUGUCCUUUCUCUGUUUAUCUGUCUGCAAUGUGAUAACUGCAAAACAUGACAUCUGAU